GUAGGGAAUAUUGCACAAUGGAGGAAACUCUGAUGCAGCGACGCCGCGUGAGUGAUGAAGGCCUUCGGGUCGUAAAGCUCUGUCGCAGGGGAAUAACACAAUGAAGGUACCCUGUAAGAAAGGAUCGGCUAACUUCGUGCCAGCAGCCGCGGUAAGACGAGGGAUCCUAGCGUUGUUCGGAAUCAUUGGGCGUAAAGCGGAUGUAGGUGGCUAUGUAAGUCAGAUGUGAACGCCUGGGGCUCAACCCCAGAAGUGCAUUUGAUACUGCGUAGCUUGAGUGUCGGAGAGGUUACUAGAAUUGUUGGUGUAGUGGUGAAAUACGUAGAUAUCAACAGGAAUACCGGAGGCGAAGGCGGGUAACUGGCCGAACACUGACACUGAGAUCCGAAAGCGUGGGGAUCAAACAGGAUUAGAAACCCGUGUAGUCC
rnacentral:rRNA from 1 species